GGGGGUUCAUCACCGCGACACGCUCUCGGUCCACUUACCAAGGCCAAGGCCACGACACGCGAUGAAACUCGCGAUGAAACGAAUCCCCCCUCAAUGCGAGUUUCAUCGCGGGAUCUGCUGUGCUCCCCGCUCCGCCGCCGCCGCCACCCUCCUCCGCGCGCUCUGCUCCCGCGCCCAUCUGGCUCCCGCGCUCACCUGCGCGCCCCGCGGUGGGAACUCGCGCGCUCGCGAAUGCCUCCGCUCCCGGCUCUCCCGCUCGCAAGCGCCGCCUCCCCCAACCCCUCCUGCUUCCCGCGCCCUACAUCUGCCCUAGCGCGCGAAAUCGUUCCAAAUCCGCCCCCUCCCCCACAUAUCCCCGCCCCUCCAUUGACUUCCGGAGCUCGCCGACGGGGAGGGUCGUCGGUCUCGGUGGGAGGGAUGUCCCGGCGGGGGAAAUCAGUACCCCAGCUCGGCGGUGGCCCAGAAAAGCGCGGUGGCGGCACUCCUCCAGCAGUUCCAACUCCGCCAGCAGCUCCACCGCAGUCGCAAUCGGCACCCCCGCCGCCAAAUGGUCCGUGGUUUCCUGGAUGUGGAGGUAGCAGUGGUCAGAGUUCAUUCUCCCAUGGAAUUGAACCGGGAAAUCCAUGAGGUGGUUAUUUUAAUUUUCUACAGCAACCACAUUUUCCACCACCGCCACAUCAGACUGGAGAAAAUUUCCAUUUUGUUGGGCUUACAAAGAACUUCAACCCAUCAUCUCCAGCACCUACACCACAGACAGAUAAGGUCAGCAUUGAUAUUGAUAUCGAUGAUGGUGAUGAGGAAACUAGGCCAGUUAAGAAAAGAUAUUGGGCACAUGAUGAGAAAGUCAGAUUGGCAAGUGCUUGGCUGAACACUUCUAAAGACCCUGUACAUGGUAAUGACAAGAAAAGUGAUUCAUUUUGGGGUCAAAUCACAAAAGAAUUUAACAAGAACACCAUACUGGAUCGUAGAAGGGAUACUAACCAACUGAAGGUACACUGGUUACGCCUUAGCAAAUCAAUAAAUGAAUUCAAUGGCUUUUGGACUACAGUGUGUAAAAUGAAUUAAGAGUGGAUACUCCGAUGACCAACUAAUGGAUGAAGCACAACAGCGGUUUGAAAAAAAGAAUAAGAAGCCUUUCACAUUGGUCCACUGGUGGAAGAUAUUAAAAAAUAAACCGAAAUGGUGUACAUACGUUGCUCAAUCAGAGAAAGAAAAACCCAAAAGCAUACUGAUGUUGAUAGUACUGGUGACAGCGAAGAACGUCCUAUUGAGAGAGAAGCAGCGAAGGCAGAAUGCAAAGGGAAGCGGAAGGCGGAACAGGUUAUGGAUGGUAUUUUCAUGCUUGGAUAUAACAUAAGCAAGAUAAUUGAAGUUACACAAGAGCGUAAGAAGGAGCGUGAAAAAAUGACAGAGGCGCAGGUAGAGAUCUCAAGGCUUAACCUGGAGGAUUGCAAAGGCGCAAAAGGAGGCUGGACAGGUGCAAAAAGAAUCAAAUUUGCUAGAAGCUUAUAAUUCUUUGCUGGUUCGAGAUACAAGUCAUAUGUACGAAGAAGCCAAGUUGAGACAGAAGACAUUGGAGAGGAUGGAGAAGAAGUUAUUUGGCACUGUUGAUGGAGCAUGAGGGGAGAAGGUGGCUGGACAGAGAGAAGGAUGGCUCUGGUGGCUGGAGAACUGAUCUGUGUGAAGGGUUGCCAUGUGAUCCGGAGAGAGUUUUGUUUUUUUGGUUAUUUUUUCAUUGUGAAUGGUGAUGCCUUGGCAUGUGAAACUGAUCCACCUUGGCAUGUGAAACUAUUUGUGUGAAUUCUAAUGGUUUGCCAUGUC